AUUGAACGCUGGCGGCAUGCUUUACACAUGCAAGUCGAACGGCAGCACGGGCUUCGGCCUGGUGGCGAGUGGCGAACGGGUGAGUAAUGCAUCGGAACGUACCGUGUAAUGGGGGAUAACGUAGCGAAAGUUACGCUAAUACCGCAUACGCCCUGAGGGGGAAAGUGGGGGACCGCAAGGCCUCACGUUAUACGAGCGGCCGAUGUCGGAUUAGCUAGUUGGUGGGGUAAAGGCCUACCAAGGCGACGAUCCGUAGCGGGUCUGAGAGGAUGAUCCGCCACACUGGGACUGAGACACGGCCCAGACUCCUACGGGAGGCAGCAGUGGGGAAUUUUGGACAAUGGGCGCAAGCCUGAUCCAGCCAUGCCGCGUGAGUGAAGAAGGCCUCGGUUGUAAG
rnacentral:rRNA from 1 species